AGCAUGUCUAGCAUGCGAGUCAUUGUAGCAUACAAGGCAGGACGGCUCAGUAACACGUAGUCAAUCUACCUUAUGGACGGGAAUAACCUCGGGAAACUGAGAAUAAUGCCCGAUAGAUCAUUAUGCCUGGAAUGGUUUAUGUUUCAAAUGAUUUAUCGCCAUGGGAUGGGACUGCGGCCUAUCAGUUUGUUGGUGAGGUAAUGGCCCACCAAGGCUAUUACAGGUACGGGCUCUGAGAGGAGAAGCCCGGAGAUGGGUACUGAGACACGGACCCAGGUCCUAUGGGGCGCAGCAGGCGAGAAAACUUUGCAAUGUGCGAAAGCACGACUGGGUUAAUCCGAGUGAUUUCUGCUAAAGAAAUCUUUUGUCUGUCCUAAAAACACUAGUGAAUAAGGGGUGGGCAAGUUCGGGUUCCACCCCCGCCGUUAUACCCACCCCUCCAGUGGUUCAGGAUGAUUAUGGGGCCUAAACCUUCCGUACCGGCUCUUGUAGUCUUUCGGUAAAUCCCCCUGCUCUACCGAAUGGGCUGUCGAGAUUCCUGAGAACUUAGGAGUUGGGAGGAGGUAGACGGUUUCUCGUGAGGAAGGGGUUAAAAUCCCUCUUGAUCCUCUUGGAGGACCACCAUGUGGCCGAAGCCGGUCUGACCAGACCACGUUCCGACCGGUGGAGGGAUGGAAGCUGGGGGGAGCAACGAUAGAUACCAGGUUAGUCCCAGCUGUACUUGCACUCGUGAUGCAUUGGCCUAGGUCAUGCAUGGCUGCAUGCAAGCCCGGUUAAGU
rnacentral:rRNA from 1 species